rnacentral:rRNA from 1 species
AAAAGAAAUCAACCGAGAUUCCCCCAGUAGCGGCGAGCGAACGGGGAGCAGCCCAGAGUCUGAAUCAGCUUGUGUGUUAGUGGAACGGUCUGGAAAGUCCGACGGUACAGGGUGAUAGUCCCGUACACCAAAAUGCACAGGCUGUGAACUCGAAGAGUAGGGCGGGACACGUGGUAUCCUGUCUGAAUAUGGGGGGACCAUCCUCCAAGGCUAAAUACUCCUGACUGACCGAUAGUGAACCAGUACCGUGAGGGAAAGGCGAAAAGAACCCCGGCGAGGGGAGUGAAAAAGAACCUGAAACCGUGUACGUACAAGCAGUGGGAGCACCUUCGGGUGUGACUGCGUACCUUUUGUAUAAUGGGUCAGCGACUUAUAUUCUGUAGCAAGGUUAACCGUAUAGGGGAGCCGCAGGGAAACCGAGUCUUAACUGGGCGUUAAGUUGCAGGGUAUAGACCCGAAACCCGGUGAUCUAGCCAUGGGCAGGUUGAAGGUUGGGUAACACUAACUGGAGGACCGAACCGACUAAUGUUGAAAAAUUAGCGGAUGACUUGUGGCUGGGGGUGAAAGGCCAAUCAAACCGGGAGAUAGCUGGUUCUCCCCGAAAGCU